ensembl:lncRNA
CGCCGGGAACCCGAGGGCCGCGCUGGGAGUCUCCCGCCGGCUCCCUCGGGGGUUUCGCUGGAAAGACCGCCGGAGGCCUUCCUUAAAGAGCCACUCCCGCAAAACGGGUGGACUGGAGCAGUUCACGGAGUGCUCAGAAGAAAAACCAGAGGAAGAGAAGCGCCGCAGCUCGGCAGCAGGAGGCCCGCUCACCGCCCAGCACCAGAGGACCCCAGAGGAGCCGGUGUGAGGGCCAGGUGUGAGGGCCGGCCAGGGGAAGGCCACGGUGGGGGCGAUGAGAGGACACCAGCCAGGACACGGAGGACGCAUCCGAAGCAGGCAUCCACAGUAGUCCAAAGCCAGCCAGUGCCACGGAGGGACGAGGUGGUCCUUCCAAAGGAUGGAACCCUGUCCUUCACCCUGGAGCAGAAGGAUGUCCUGGCCGACGGGCCACAUGGAUGAGCUUCCAGGUGUCCUGCGGAUGACCCACCAGAGUCACAGAAGACAGCACUGUGCCUCCUCUCCACCGGUGGAAUAGGAGACUCCAAGCGGAUGGAAAGGCCGUUCAGGGUCCAGGGACUGAGGACAGGGCAUGAGCGAUGAGUCUGCAAGGCAUGAUGGGAACGCACCUACCUGCACAGGUGUGGCUCAGAGGGAGGGCACUUGCCUAGCAGGCACAAGUGGGUAGAGCUGGUGACAAUGGUCACACAACAUUGUGACCGUAUUUUUGGUAUGCCACUUUGCACUUAGAAACGGUUGAAAUCAGGAAUGUUCUUAUGUAUAUUUUACCGUAAUCGUAACAGUAAUGAUAAAGAUUCCCAGGCAAUAGUUUGCAUAUUCGAUUUUUUAAAUUACUGCAUCAGCUGGGAGCGGUGGCACCCGCCAGUGAUUCCAGCGGCUCGGGAGGCCGAGGCAGGAGGAUUUCAAGUUCAAAGCCAGACUAGCAACAGGAGGCGCUAAGCAACUCAGUGAGCCUCUGUCUCUAAAUAAAUAAAAUACAGAAUAGGGCUGGGAUGGAGCU